UGGGGAAUAUUGGACAAUGGGGGCAACCCUGAUCCAGCCAUGCCGCGUGAGUGAAGAAGGCCCUAGGGUUGUAAAGCUCUUUCAGCAGGGAAGAUGAUGACGGUACCUGCAGAAGAAGCCCCGGCUAACUCCGUGCCAGCAGCCGCGGUAAUACGGAGGGGGCUAGCGUUGCUCGGAAUUACUGGGCGUAAAGAGCACGUAGGCGGAUAGUCAAGUCAGGCGUGAAAGCCCCGGGCUCAACCCGGGAACUGCGCUUGAUACUGAUUGUCUUGAGUCCGAGAGAGGGUGGUGGAAUUCCCAGUGUAGAGGUGAAAUUCGUAGAUAUUGGGAAGAACACCAGUGGCGAAGGCGGCCACCUGGCUCGGUACUGACGCUGAGGUGCGAAAGCGUGGGGAGCAAACAGGAUUAGAUACCCCCGUAGUCC
rnacentral:rRNA from 1 species